CGGGGGGGGCAAGCGUUGUUCGGAAUUACUGGGCGUAAAGGGCUCGUAGGCGGCCAACUAAGUCCGACGUGAAAUCCCCAGGCUUAACCUGGGAACUGCGUCGGAUACUGGAUGGCUUGAAUUCGGGAGAGGGAUGCAGAAUUCCAGGUGUAGCGGUGAAAUGCGUAGAUAUCUGGAGGAAUACCGGUGGCGAAGGCGGCAUCCUGGACCGACAUUGACGCUGAUGAGCGAAAGCUAGGGGAGCAAACGGGAUUAGAUACCCCGGUAGUCCUGGCCCUAAACGAUGAAUGCUUGGUGUGGCGGGUAUCGAUCCCUGCCGUGCCGAAGCUAACGCAUUAAGCAUUCCGCCUGGGGAGUACGGUCGCAAGGCUG
rnacentral:rRNA from 1 species